CAUUAUUGUCAGUUCAUCCGCUUUAGUCGCUUCAGCUACCGGUUCCUUUUAGCAGUAGCAUCAUCCACUUGGUCAUCUUUGUGGUUCUCGAUUUGUCGCCUUUAGUUCGUUGAGGUCUUCUGGGGUCUGUCUCAGGAGACGUCUCUUUAAAAUGUCAGGGUUGUUGACUUGGCAUACAAAUUUAGUUACCGUAUCCAACUAGUGAGUGAGUGUCUCAGCGUCCUUUUGAUUUAAUCCAUUCCAAUGUAUGUGGUCCUUUUGAUUUAGUCGAUUCCGGUGUAUGGGGUUUGGCUCCCUUCGCUUCGAAAGGGGGCCAUCGGUACUAUAUUAUUUUCAUAGAUGAUUUCUCUCGUUACACUUGGCUUUAUUUUAUGACUUCUCGCAGUGAGGUUUUGUCCAUCUAUAAGCGUUUUGCUGCCAUGGUCACACUCAGUUCUCUUCGCCCAUUCGUGUGUUUCGUGCUUACUCCGCUGGCGAGGAUAUUUCUAAGAUGCUGCGUGGUUUCUUGCUGAGCAGGGGACUCUUUCUCAGUUCUCUCGUCCUGGUGCUCAUGCUUAAAAUGGCGUGGCUAAGCGCAAGCAUCGUCACCUUCUUGAGACAACCCGUGCAUUGAUGAUCGCCGCCUCUCUUCCACCUCAUUUUUGGGUUGAGUGUCUCCACCUCCACCUGUCUCAUCAAUCUUUAGCUGUCCCCUGCUCUACAGGGUGGUGAGACAACCCGUGCAUUGAUGAUCGCCGCCUCUCUUCCACCUCAUUUUUGGGUUGAGUGUCUCCACCUCCACCUGUCUCAUCAAUCUUUAGCUGUCCCCUGCUCUACAGGGUGGUGAGACAACCCGUGCAUUGAUGAUCGCCGCCUCUCUUCCGCCUCAUUUUUGGGCUGAGUGUCUCCACCUCCACCUAUCUCAUCAAUCUUUAGCUGUCCCCUGCUCUACAGGGUGGUGUUCCUUUCGAGCGUCUUUUUGACCGUUCUCCUAAUUAUUCGAUGCUUUGUUUGUUUUAUGUUCUUCUUGCCCCCCGUGAGUGUCUUCUUAGGCUAUAGCGAGGAGCAUAAGGGUUAUCGUUGUUGUGAUCCUAUCGAUUGUCGGGUGCGUAUUUCUCGGGAUGUAACUUCUGACAAGUCUCGUCCCUUCUACUGAUAACCUACAAGUAUUGGGGAUCGCAACAGUCUUCACAUGUAGUAUUUCAUCCUAAUUUAUUGAUUCGACACAAGGGGAGCCAAAAAUAUUUAUUGGCCUUGACAGUUAAGUUGUCAAUUCAACCGUACCUGAGAUAUCUCUUUGCAGCAAGGAUUUAGUAGCACAACAAAUGAUAACAGUUACAGUGAUAGCAUUAAUUUUGGUAAAAGUAGUAACAAUAGCAAACGAGUAGCAGGUGUGACAGUAGCAGCAACAGUAAUAACUUAGCAAGAUUCGGUAUAUGUAAAGCAUAGGCACGUGGAUCGGUGAUGGAUAAUAAUUUAGAUGACAUUAAUCAUGUAACAGUUACACACUAGGGCGGCACAGAACCAACUCUAAUUCAUCAAUAUAAUGUAGGCAUGUAUUCCGUAUAUAGUCAUGCGUGCUUGCGAUAAGAACUUGCAUGAUAUCUUUUAUCCUAACCUCUCGUGGCAGCGGGGUCUUAUUGGAAACUUAGGGAUAUUAAGGUUUCCUUUUAAUAGAGAACCGGAACAAAGCAUUAACACAUGGUGAAUAUGCAUUAACACAUGGUGAAUACAUGAACUCCUCAAACUACGGCAAUCACCGAAAAGAAUCCCAAUUAUUGUCAUCUUGGGAUAUGCGGAUCAGGACAUGUAAUAGGUGCAUACAAC
rnacentral:lncRNA from 1 species